rnacentral:lncRNA from 1 species
UCCACUCUCUACAAACAUCAAAUGGAGAGUCAAGCAUAAGAGCAAUAACAAAAUAAACAAAACCACAAGAACACAAGGAUUUACAUGGUUUGACUAUGCCUACAUCCAUCGGAGAACAAUGUAUAAGAAGCUUUCAAUAUAAACUUGAAGAUUACAAGAGAGAUUUAAAUAGGAAAAAUAUUACCUUAACACUAAAGUAUAAAAAGAGAGCUCCAACAAUAUCUAGCUCUAUCCAAAUAGUGUAAACCACACCUCACAAGGAAGAUCUCAUCUUCUUCUUAAUAGAAUUAAGAUCAAAACCAAGCUCCUGGGUUUUCUCUCUUUUCUCCCACUUCUUUUCUCACUUUCUACUUCUCUCUCUCUUUUCUCUCAUAUUCUAAUGUUUCACUUUAGCUCCUAAGAAAAGAAGCUAUCAAUAUGAGCCUUUGGAUCAAAAGAACCAUGAUUCAAAGGCUUACAAAUAGGAGGCCACAUACAUAAUAAGAAAAUAUAAAAAAGGGAGAUUUUGACUUCACCAAAUUACAGAGCCCAAAUAAUAAGGCCCAAAUAACAAAUAGUCUCAAUGUAACUAGCUCAAUAGAAAGGCAGUGACCCACACAGAUGGAGGCGUGCGAAGCGGAGAUGUGUUCAUCGGUGAGGAUGAGCUGGUCCGGCGAUGGUUGGAAUGGACGUUCGCAGGCGAAGU